rnacentral:rRNA from 1 species
CAUUUCUUUUUGUUUAUUAUUUUAAGUAUGAUCUGCUCAAUGAUUUUUAAAUAGCUGCGGUAUAUUGACCGUACAAAGGUAGCAUAAUCAUUAGUUUUUUAAUUGAAAGCUUGAAUGAAUGGUUGAACGAGAGUGAUACUGUUUUUAUUUAAUUAAUAUAAUUUUAUUUUUAAGUUAAAAAGCUUAAAUUUUUUUAAAAGACGAGAAGACCCUAUAGAUCUUUACAUAAAUUUUUUAAAUUGAAUUUUUAGUAUUUUUAUUUAUUUAUUUGUUUUAUGUUUUAUUGGGGUGAUAUAAAGAUUGAAUAAACUCUUUAUUAUUUUUUUAAUAGUUUUUAUUUUGUUGAUCCGGAAUUUUUGAUUAUAAGAUUAAGUUACCUUAGGGAUAACAGCGUGAUUUUUUUGGAGAGUUCUUAUUAAUAAAGGAGAUUGCGACCUCGAUGUUGGAUUAAGGGAAAGCUUGGGUGUAAAGUUUCAAGUUUUUGGUCUGUUCGACCUUUAUUCCUUACAUGAUCUGAGU